UGGCGGGGGCGGGUGCCUAUACAUGCAGUCGAGCGGAACCGGUGGAGCUUGCUCCAUUGGUUUAGCGGCGGACGGGUGAGUAACACGUGGGCAACCUGCCCUGCAGAUCGGGAUAACUCCGGGAAACCGGUGCUAAUACCGAAUAGUUUGCGGCCUCUCAUGAGGCUGCACGGAAAGACGGUUUCGGCUGUCACUGCAGGAUGGGCCCGCGGCGCAUUAGCUAGUUGGUGGGGUAACGGCCCACCAAGGCGACGAUGCGUAGCCGACCUGAGAGGGUGAUCGGCCACACUGGGACUGAGACACGGCCCAGACUCCUACGGGAGGCAGCAGUAGGGAAUCUUCCGCAAUGGACGAAAGUCUGACGGAGCAACGCCGCGUGAGUGAAGAAGGUUUUCGGAUCGUAAAACUCUGUUGUGAGGGAAGAACAAGUACCACCUAACUACUGGUACCUUGACGGUACCUCACCAGAAAGCCACGGCUAACUACGUGCCAGCAGCCGCGGUAAU
rnacentral:rRNA from 1 species